rnacentral:rRNA from 1 species
CCUACGGGAGGCAGCAGUGGGGAAUAUUGGACAAUGGGGGCAACCCUGAUCCAGCCAUGUCGCGUGUGUGAAGAAGGCCCUCGGGUUGUAAAGCACUUUCAGUGAGGAAGAACGCCUGGUGGUUAAUACCCAUCAGGAAAGACAUCACUCACAGAAGAAGCACCGGCUAACUCCGUGCCAGCAGCCGCGGUAAUACGGAGGGUGCGAGCGUUAAUCGGAAUUACUGGGCGUAAAGCGCGCGUAGGUGGCUUGAUAAGCCGGUUGUGAAAGCCCCGGGCUCAACCUGGGAACGGCAUCCGGAACUGUCAAGCUAGAGUGCAGGAGAGGAAGGUAGAAUUCCCGGUGUAGCGGUGAAAUGCGUAGAGAUCGGGAGGAAUACCAGUGGCGAAGGCGGCCUUCUGGACUGACACUGACACUGAGGUGCGAAAGCGUGGGUAGCAAACAGGAUUAGAUACCCCAGUAGUC